rnacentral:lncRNA from 1 species
CCUGGUUCCUUUCAGUUGCUCUUGUCUCACCAAAAAGUGCUUUGAUACAUGGACAGGACUGCUACAGAAACAGCCAGCUAUGCAGCAUGACCAAGACAGAAAGGAACAGACCAAAGAUUGGGUGCCACACAGGAAGCCCAAUAUGCACAGUCCCAGCUAGGAUUAAGAGGGUAACAGGUAUAGCUUUUGGAGUGCCCCACCACCAUCUCCACCAAAACUUCCUUCAUUGUUCUGCCAGCUCUGAGUGAAUUUCCCAGAUAACCUUUUUGAUUCUACCUCCAUGGCCCCCUCAGCAAGGCUCCCCAAGCCUAGCGCCAGCCAUGAAAAUGCAACAUCCUGGUUUGUUCAACAUUACACAUUAAAAGAUGGGCUUACUCCUCUAUUCACUGCUCUUGACUGUGAACACAGUAUGCUUACAGAGAACUGUGCUCCACCCUGAGAACAACUCUAUGGCUGCAACAUUCUUUAAAGGCUUGAACCCAGUGCUGACCCCCUCCCAAGAACUUCUUGUUCUUGCUUCCAGAGGAUUGGAACUGUUCCAGGGGUAGCACUUAGAGAGCAGGACAUGCCCAUAAGCUUGAGGAAGGUACUGCUUACAAGAAAUGAGUCACAGCAACUCCAUUGCUUCCAACAACAAAGUGGAUGAAAAACACUCAAGCCCCACUAAACAAUACUCGGAGUUUUGCUGCGACAGACUGGUUAGACUAUUUGGACACUACCAUGAAGACUAUAUCCACCAUUCUGCCUUCAAAGGAGGAGACUGCAGAGAGAAAAGGGGAAGAGGAACAGGAGGAAAAAGGGGGAGGGGAGGAAGUGGAGGAGGGGAAGAAGGACGUAAUAGAGGAAGAGAUAUAGUUUUAUUGUCACAUAGAAAUGACAGUAGGAAUCAAUUUUUUCACUGUUGGUCUUUAGGAAAUCAUCUGACUUUCUCUGAGUUAGAGUAUGAUCGAUUAUUAGAAAAUGGUAAAAUGUGUUAAAAACUCUCUUUGUACGGUUUUGUGAGAAAUGUGUAAUGCUUAAAGACUAACCAAGAGCCUCUUGGCUAAACCAGGUUGAUGUCAACAAUAGCUAGUACUUAUUUGAGUCACCUUGAUUUUCCCUCCUCUUGAGAACUUUCUCUAACCAGUUUAGGCUGCAGUCAUGCCUCCUUUCCUUUCUCUGAACUCUCACAAUUAUUGCCUAGAUCUCGUUUGGUAAUUAAUCAUGUGCUACUUACUGCCUGUGUCAUCUCUUGUAUUGUUUUCUUAAAAUAUUUACACUUUUUUUUCGGUUGUCACUUAUCUUUCCAGCUGUCAUUUUCUUCAACUAUUUACGUCUCUGUUACUCAUCUUUCCAGCCAUCCUG